CAUCGCUGCCCUUUCCCCGGGCGUCCUCCCUUGACUUGGACCGCCAGCACACAGCUGAGCGGUCCUUUCUUUCUGCACG
rnacentral:sRNA from 1 species